UGCCAGACUCCUACGGGAGGCAGCAGUGGGGGAUAUUGCACAAUGGGGGAAACCCUGAUGCAGCGACGCCGCGUGUGGGAAGACGGUCCUCUGGAUUGUAAACCACUGUCCCCAGGGACGAAAAUGACGGUACCUGGGGAGGAAGCUCCGGCUAACUACGUGCCAGCAGCCGCGGUAAUACGUAGGGGGCAAGCGUUAUCCGGAUUUACUGGGUGUAAAGGGAGCGUAGACGGCAGCGCAAGUCUGAAGUGAAAUGCCGGGGCUUAACCCCGGAACUGCUUUGGAAACUGAGCAGCUAGAGUGCAGGAGAGGUAAGUGGAAUUCCUAGUGUAGCGGUGAAAUGCGUAGAUAUUAGGAGGAACACCAGUGGCGAAGGCGGCUUACUGGACUGUAACUGACGUUGAGGCUCGAAAGCGUGGGGAGCAAACAGGAUUAGAUACCCCUGUAA
rnacentral:rRNA from 1 species